rnacentral:lncRNA from 1 species
GCUGUCGUGGUGCUUGAGGAGGUGGCAGACUGCUGCCGGCCUCAUUCCUGCGUCUGCCAAAACACAGAUGUAACUUCUGAGUGAAUUCACAGCAGAACCUGCUCAGGAUUCCCAGAAGCCCGGCUUGAGUGGACCACGGGUGUCCCUCCUCCACGUCUUCCUCCAGCUCUUUGUAGCUCCAAGCAUGAUGUGAACCACCUAUCAAGGAGAGCCGGAGAGCCCCGCGGGGCUCCCAGUCUAGAAGGGGAGAGAGAACAGGUCCUUGUUAAACAAUUACAGUGCAGUAUGUCACGGCUCCCGUAGCCAAGCAGCCGUGGUUAGGCAUUUAUUCGUUAAAUACAAUGACCUUAUGAGUUGGAUGUUUUCUCCAUUUCACGGAGGACUCUGAGACUCAAGAAGUUGUGAAUUAUCCAGGGUCACACAGCCAGUAUGAUUGGCAGAGAAUUCAAACCCAGAUCACUCUGACCCCAGAGUUCAGGGUCUUCUCAGUCCAUCCUUUCCACUCACCGCCAGUUAGCAAGGUGCUUCUUGGCCUCGCUCGAUCCCAUGGGUUGUGUGUGAACAUCAUGUGGCGUGUGGCACUGAGAGCCUGAGCAUUCGGUCCCCACGGCUGCAUCACGUGCGUCAUCUCCAG